GACGAACGCUGGCGGCGUGCUUAACACAUGCAAGUCGAACGGUGAAGCGCCUUCCUUUUUGGUGGGUGUGGAUGAGUGGCGAACGGGUGAGUAACACGUGAGUAACCUGCCCCCUUCUUCUGGAUAACCGCAUGAAAGUGUGGCUAAUACGGGAUAUUCUGGGUCUGUCGCAUGAUGGGUCUGGGAAAGAUAUUGUUUCGGUGGGGGAUGGGCUCGCGGCCUAUCAGCUUGUUGGUGGGGUGAUGGCCUACCAAGGCGGUGACGGGUAGCCGGCCUGAGAGGGUGGACGGUCACACUGGGACUGAGACACGGCCCAGACUCCUACGAGAGGCAGCAGUGGGGAAUAGUGCACAAUGGGCGCAAGCCUGAUGCAGCGACGCCGCGUGAGGGAUGGAGGCCUUCGGGUUGUGAACCUCUUUCGCCAGUGAAGCAGACCUGCCUCGUUUGUGGGUGGGUUGACGGUAGCUGGAUAAGAAGCGCCGGCUAACUACGUG
rnacentral:rRNA from 1 species